rnacentral:rRNA from 1 species
CAGCCGUAAACUAUGCGCGUUAGGUGUAUCGGUGACCACGAGUUACCGAGGUGCCGAAGGGAAACCGUGAAACGUGCCGCCUGGGAAGUACGGUCGCAAGGCUGAAACUUAAAGGAAUUGGCGGGGGGAACACCACAACAGGUGGAGCCUGCGGUUUAAUUGGACUCAACGCCGGGAAGCUCACCGGAUAGGACAGCAGAAUGAUUGCCGGGCUGAAGACCCUGCAUGACUAGCUGAGAGGAGGUGCAUGGCGUCAGUGACU